rnacentral:rRNA from 1 species
UACGUAGGGUGCAAGCGUUGUCCGGAAUUAUUGGGCGUAAAGAGCUCGUAGGCGGUUUGUCGCGUCUGGUGUGAAAAUCCAGGGCUUAACCCUGGACCUGCAUCGGGUACGGGCAGACUAGAGUGCGGUAGGGGAGAUCGGAAUUCCUGGUGUAGCGGUGAAAUGCGCAGAUAUCAGGAGGAACACCGGUGGCGAAGGCGGGUCUCUGGGCCGAUACUGACGCUGAGGAGCGAAAGCGUGGGGAGCAAACAGG